CUUGGCAGCACCAGGAAGUGGCGGGCCACACAGCUGGCAAAGAUGAGGCUUGCAGGAAACUGGCCGGGGCUCACUUGCAAGGCAAGACACCUCAAGUUUGGGUGCUGGUGAGGCGGGUGUGUGUGAUGGCACUCAGGUGCACACUUCUGCAA